GAUGGUAUAGUUCAAGUGGUAGAGCACAUGCUUAGCAUGCAUGAGGUCCUGGGUUCAGUCCUUAGUACCUCCU
rnacentral:tRNA from 1 species